UACAUACAUGCAUAUAUUAAUAAAAAAGGGGUUAUUUGUGCUAAUAUAUGUAUAUGUAAAUAAUUUUCACAAUAUUUAAGCAGCAUGAAGAAAACGAAUGCGCGGGAAUUUGGCAAAAUGGUGCAAAUGAUGCGGGAGCAUCCAGAUGUAGCUCGAGGACUUGGUGCUUUCGGGUCCAAUAAAAAGGAUACAGCAGAGCUGUGGAAACAGCUAUCAGUUCAAUUGAAUGCACUUGGUCCACCAGUGCGUGAUGGAAGAGGCUGGAAUAAGGUAUGGCUCGACUAUAAGUUAAAGCUGAAAAGAAAAAUAGCACUGAACAGAAGUGAGAGCAUCGCUACUGGCGGUGGACCUUAUCGCCAGCUGACAUUAUCACCUCUCGAGCAGGAGGUUGACUCUCUUCUAGGCUUAGAAAGAGCAGCGAAUCCUGAAGGCGUAAGUCAUGGUGCCAGCAACAGUAUCAGUGCUCCACUUGCUUCAGAAAACUGUAUUGAAGAGGAAAAUCUUCAAAGCGAGGUUGAAGCUACCCCUCGCAGGAGAGUGCGUUCGUCGGUAGUAAAUGCGGAUGUAAGGGAAAACGAACGAAUUGAGAUGCUGAAGCAGCAGACGCUUAAUCAGGAGAAGUUACUAAAAGUGGUAAGAGGCCUGGGUGAAAAAAUGCACGACAUUGGAAGAUAUGCGCGGAAAACUUUUGAAAUUUCGAAACAAAAAGAAGCUCGUGAGGAGAGGGAACACUUCGAACGGAUCCAGCUGCAAAAGCAAAAACUCGAGCUAAAGCUCCGGGAGCUUGAGUUGAAAGAAUUAAAGUAUAAAAAGCAUUUAUAAAAAAAUUGUACUUAAAUUAUAUCGUCACCUAAAAUACCAAAAGACGUAAAAAACAUCGUCACUGAAAUGGAAAAAGAUGUGACUAAUAAUUUUUUUGCAUAAUUCGAUGUGGGGAGUUAUAAUUCGAUGAAGUCCAUCACAUCAAUCAAAAAGUGACGAUAUGUAGCUUUUUAUGCUACUUAUCUUGUAUUCAAAUUAAAUGAAAGCUGCUGGUUGGAUUCCGUUUUUAACUUGGACUUCAACACUUUAAAAUGAAAAAGGGUACAAUAAUGCAUA